CUUCCGCCCUCCCCGCACAGGAGGACGGAUCGAGGUGGCCGCGCGUUCUGCCCUGACCGCGCGGGUUCACCUCCCAAACGGCCGCCGGGCACCGCACACCCUACGGCCGUGAGUACUCCGGGCUACGGUGCCGGGUGGGUUGAGGGUCCCGCCCUGCACC
rnacentral:ncRNA from 1 species